CAGGCUUGACAGGCCCGAGUCUUCAUUUGUAGGACUUUGUGGGAUGGGCCCGUGCAUGUAGGCUUGGGUCUUCUUAACGUGCGUCAUUUGACGACUCAGUGCAUGGAUGUCACGAGUCCAUUGGCAUAGGCUUAGGCCUAUUUUGUAAGUGGGCAGUCUUUGGCAGGCCUGGAGAUUCAAUUAAGGGGAGCAGUCUAAUAAAUCGACUGUUGGUGGCAUCACGCUAUCUUAGAUUAGGGAUGAUAAUUCAAUAUAUCGGAAAGACGCUAGGCAAAAAGGUUAGUAAGAAUAGGAAUUGUUAGAUUUCCUGUAUCGGAGAGAGAAGCUGAGUCGGGAUGAGGGAAUUGUUUCUAUGCUUUUCUCAGAUAAUGCGGGUGCGAGAGUGAAGCUA
rnacentral:lncRNA from 1 species